rnacentral:rRNA from 1 species
UACGUAGGGUGCAAGCGUUGUCCGGAAUUACUGGGCGUAAAGAGCUCGUAGGUGGUUUGUCGCGUUGUUCGUGAAAACUCACAGCUUAACUGUGGGCGUGCGGGCGAUACGGGCAGACUGGAGUACUGCAGGGGAGACUGGAAUUCCUGGUGUAGCGGUGGAAUGCGCAGAUAUCAGGAGGAACACCGGUGGCGAAGGCGGGUCUCUGGGCAGUAACUGACGCUGAGGAGCGAAAGCGUGGGGAGCGAACAGG